UACGAAGGGGGCUAGCGUUGUUCGGAAUUACUGGGCGUAAAGCGCACGUAGGCGGAUAUUUAAGUCAGGGGUGAAAUCCCAGAGCUCAACUCUGGAACUGCCUUUGAUACUGGGAAUCUUGAGUAUGGAAGAGGUAAGUGGAAUUGCGAGUGUAGAGGUGAAAUUCGUAGAUAUUCGCAAGAACACCGGUGGCGAAGGCGGCCAACUGGACCAUUACUGACGCUGAGGCGCGAAAGCGUGGGAGCAAACAGG
rnacentral:rRNA from 1 species